rnacentral:rRNA from 1 species
AUUGAACGCUGGCGGCAGGCCUAAUACAUGCAAGUCGAGCGGAUGAAGGGAGCUUGCUCUCGGAUUCAGCGGCGGACGGGCGAGUAAUUCCCAGGAAUCUGCCCGGCAGUGGGGGAUAACGUCCGGAAACGGGCGCUUAUAUCGUACACGAUCUGAGGGAGAAAGUGGUGGAUCUUCGGACCUCACGCCAUUUGAUGAGCCUGCGUAGGAUCAGCUAGUUGGUUGGGUAAAGGCUCACCAAGGAGACGAUCCGUAGCUGGCCGGAGAGGAUGACCGGCCACACUGGGACGGAGACACGGCCCAGACUCAUACGGGAGGCAGCAGUAGGGAAUAUUCGGCAAUGGGGGAAACCCUGACCGAGCAACGCCGCGUGAGUGAAGAAGGUUUUCGGAUCGUAAAGCUCUGUUGUUAGUGAAGAACGGGUGUGAGAGUGGAAAGUUCAGACUGGGAGGGUAGGAAAAAAGAAAGGGACGGCUAACUACGU